ACUUCCUUAUUUGAUGACUACUUUGCAUAGGUUCUUAACAGACCAGACCAUCUCCCCAUGAUUUAUAAACCAGACCUUAGCAGUGUGAUCUGAAAUGCCUCAGGCAAGCAUCGGCAUCAAGAUGGAGUCACAGACUCAGGUCUUCAUAUUUGUGUUGCUCUGGUUGUCUGGUGUUGAUGGAGACAUUGUUAUGACCCAGACACAAAAAUCCAUAUCCACAUUAGUAGGAGACAGGGUGCUCAUGAACUGCAAGGCCAGUCAGAAUGUGGCUACAAUUGUGAAUUGGUACCAACAGAAACCAGGGCAGUCUCCUAAACUGCUGAUAUAUGGGGCAUCUAACAGGUUCACUGGGGUCCCUGAUCGUUUCACAGGCAGUAGAUCUUGGAAAGAUUUCAAUCUCACCAUCAGUAGUGUGCAGGCUGAAGACCUGGCAGAUUAUUACUGUGCACAGCUUUAUAGCUAUCCUCCCACAGUGCAUCAGCAUCCUGCACAAACCUCCUCUGAGAUUCUAACCGCCUGCCUGAACCACACCACACAUCCCCAGACCUACACACUUCCUCUUCUGCAGAGUUUGGUAGAAAAUUAA